UACGUAGGGGGCAAGCGUUGUCCGGAAUUAUUGGGCGUAAAGAGCGUGUAGGCGGCCAGAUAAGUCCGCUGUGAAAAUCUCGAGGCUCAAACUUCGAGCUGUCGGUGGAAACUAUCUGGCUAGAGUCCGGAAGAGGAGAAUGGAAUUCCUGGUGUAGCGGUGAAAAUGCGCAGAUAUCAGGAAGAACACCCCGUGGCGAAGGCGGUUCUCUGGGACGGUACUGACGCUGAGGGAAGCGAAAAGCGUGGGGGGAGCAAAACAGGG
rnacentral:rRNA from 1 species